rnacentral:rRNA from 1 species
AUGAAGAUCACGGCGCUCGUCGUGCUGAAGCCGUCGGCGGGAGGCGCCGGGGGCUCCUCCUCCAGCGGCGGGCAGGGCUCGGAGGCGCUCGUGCUGGCCAACGCCACGGACGUCAGCCACUUCGGCUUCUUCCAGCGCGGCGCCGCCCGCGAGUUCAUCGUCUUCGUCGCCCGCACCGUCGCCCAGCGCACCCAGCCCGGCCAGCGCCAGUCCGUCCAGCACGAAGAAUACAAGGUUCACUCACACAACAGAAAUGGCCUCUGCGUGGUGGCAUUCAUGGAUGAUCACUAUCCUGUACGAAGUGCAUUUUCUCUUCUGAAUAAGGUACUUGACGAAUACCAGAAGGCUUUUGGGGAUGCUUGGAAAGCUGCCACAGCAGAUUCCACUCAAGAGUGGCCUUUCCUGAUGGAAGCUUUGACAAAAUUUCAGGAUCCUGCAGAGGCUGACAAGUUAACAAAAAUCCAGAGGGACUUGGAUGAAACAAAAAUUAUCCUACAUAAAACUAUAGAGAAUGUCCUUCAAAGAGGAGAGAGGUUGGAUAGCUUGGUUGAAAAAAGCUCAGACCUGAGUGCUGCUUCACAGAUGUUCUAUAAGCAGGCGAAGAAAACAAACAGUUGUUGUACUAUACUUUGA